rnacentral:rRNA from 1 species
UACAGAGGGGGCAAGCGUUGUUCGGAAUUACUGGGCGUAAAGGGCGCGUAGGCGGCCGCCUAAGUCAGACGUGAAAUCCCUCGGCUCAACCGGGGAACUGCGUCUGAUACUGGGUGGCUUGAAUUCGGGAGAGGGAUGCGGAAUUCCAGGUGUAGCGGUGAAAUGCGUAGAUAUCUGGAGGAACACCGGUGGCGAAGGCGGCAUUCUGGACUGUAACUGACACUGAGGAACGAAAGCCAGGGGAGCAAACGGG